UGCAGUCGACGAUGAGCCUAGCUUGCUAGGUGGAUUAGUGGCGAACGGGUGAGUAACACGUGAGCAACCUGCCCCGAACUUUGGGAUAAGCGCUGGAAACGGCGUCUAAUACCGAAUACGCACCAUGGCGGCAUCGUCAAUGGUGGGAAAGAUUUUUCGGUUCGGGAGGGGCUCGCGGCCUAUCAGCUUGUUGGUGAGGUAAUGGCUCACCAAGGCGUCGACGGGUAGCCGGCCUGAGAGGGUGACCGGCCACACUGGGACUGAGACACGGCCCAGACUCCUACGGGAGGCAGCAGUGGGGAAUAUUGCACAAUGGGCGCAAGCCUGAUGCAGCAACGCCGCGUGAGGGAUGACGGCCUUCGGGUUGUAAACCUCUUUUAGUAGGGAAGAAGCGAGAGUGACGGUACCUGCAGAAAAAGCACCGGCUAACUACGUGCCAGCAGCCGCGGUAAUACGUAGGGUGCAAGCGUUAUCCGGAAUUAUUGGGCGUAGAGAGCUCGUAGGCGGUUUGUCGCGUCUGCUGUGAAAACUAGAGGCUCAACUUCUAGCUUGCAGUGGGUACGGGCACACUAUAGUGCGGUAGGGGAGAUUGCAAUUCGUGGUGUAGCGGUGGAAUGCGCAGAU
rnacentral:rRNA from 1 species